rnacentral:ncRNA from 1 species
GUAUCGAGUAGAAGCGGUUAGCGCCGGCAUCGCCCCCCCCCGCGGGGCGGGGUUCGCCGGCGCGGGACAUUGCUCUCGCA